UUAAGCGACUAAGCGUACACGGUGGAUGCCCUGGCAGUCAGAGGCGAUGAAGGACGUGCUAAUCUGCGAUAAGCGUCGGUGAGGUGAUAUGAACCGUUAUAACCGGCGAUUUCCGAAUGGGGAAACCCAGUGUGUUUCGACACACUAUCAUUAACUGAAUCCAUAGGUUAAUGAGGCGAACCGGGGGAACUGAAACAUCUAAGUACCCCGAGGAAAAGAAAUCAACCGAGAUUCCCCCAGUAGCGGCGAGCGAACGGGGAGCAGCCCAGAGCCUGAAUCAGUGUGUGUGUUAGUGGAAGCGUCUGGAAAGGCGUGCGAUACAGGGUGACAGCCCCGUACACAAAAAUGCACAUACUGUGAGCUCGAUGAGUAGGGCGGGACACGUGGUAUCCUGUCUGAAUAUGGGGGGACCAUCCUCCAAGGCUAAAUACUCCUGACUGACCGAUAGUGAACCAGUACCGUGAGGGAAAGGCGAAAAGAACCCCGGCGAGGGGAGUGAAAAAGAACCUGAAACCGUGUACGUACAAGCAGUGGGAGCCUCUUAAUGGGGUGACUGCGUACCUUUUGUAUAAUGGGUCAGCGACUUAUAUUCUGUAGCAAGGUUAACCGAAUAGGGGAGCCGAAGGGAAACCGAGUCUUAACUGGGCGUUAAGUUGCAGGGUAUAGACCCGAAACCCGGUGAUCUAGCCAUGGGCAGGUUGAAGGUUGGGUAACACUAACUGGAGGACCGAACCGACUAAUGUUGAAAAAUUAGCGGAUGACUUGUGGCUGGGGGUGAAAGGCCAAUCAAACCGGGAGAUAGCUGGUUCUCCCCGAAAGCUAUUUAGGUAGCGCCUCGUGAAUUCAUCUCCGGGGGUAGAGCACUGUUUCGGCAAGGGGGUCAUCCCGACUUACCAACCCGAUGCAAACUGCGAAUACCGGAGAAUGUUAUCACGGGAGACACACGGCGGGUGCUAACGUCCGUCGUGAAGAGGGAAACAACCCAGACCGCCAGCUAAGGUCCCAAAGUCAUGGUUAAGUGGGAAACGAUGUGGGAAGGCCCAGACAGCCAGGAUGUUGGCUUAGAAGCAGCCAUCAUUUAAAGAAAGCGUAAUAGCUCACUGGUCGAGUCGGCCUGCGCGGAAGAUGUAACGGGGCUAAACCAUGCACCGAAGCUGCGGCAGCGACACUAUGUGUUGUUGGGUAGGGGAGCGUUCUGUAAGCCUGCGAAGGUGUACUGUGAGGUAUGCUGGAGGUAUCAGAAGUGCGAAUGCUGACAUAAGUAACGAUAAAGCGGGUGAAAAGCCCGCUCGCCGGAAGACCAAGGGUUCCUGUCCAACGUUAAUCGGGGCAGGGUGAGUCGACCCCUAAGGCGAGGCCGAAAGGCGUAGUCGAUGGGAAACAGGUUAAUAUUCCUGUACUUGGUGUUACUGCGAAGGGGGGACGGAGAAGGCUAUGUUGGCCGGGCGACGGUUGUCCCGGUUUAAGCGUGUAGGCUGGUUUUCCAGGCAAAUCCGGAAAAUCAAGGCUGAGGCGUGAUGACGAGGCACUACGGUGCUGAAGCAACAAAUGCCCUGCUUCCAGGAAAAGCCUCUAAGCAUCAGGUAACAUCAAAUCGUACCCCAAACCGACACAGGUGGUCAGGUAGAGAAUACCAAGGCGCUUGAGAGAACUCGGGUGAAGGAACUAGGCAAAAUGGUGCCGUAACUUCGGGAGAAGGCACGCUGAUAUGUAGGUGAAGUCCCUCGCGGAUGGAGCUGAAAUCAGUCGAAGAUACCAGCUGGCUGCAACUGUUUAUUAAAAACACAGCACUGUGCAAACACGAAAGUGGACGUAUACGGUGUGACGCCUGCCCGGUGCCGGAAGGUUAAUUGAUGGGGUUAGCGGUAACGCGAAGCUCUUGAUCGAAGCCCCGGUAAACGGCGGCCGUAACUAUAACGGUCCUAAGGUAGCGAAAUUCCUUGUCGGGUAAGUUCCGACCUGCACGAAUGGCGUAAUGAUGGCCAGGCUGUCUCCACCCGAGACUCAGUGAAAUUGAACUCGCUGUGAAGAUGCAGUGUACCCGCGGCAAGACGGAAAGACCCCGUGAACCUUUACUAUAGCUUGACACUGAACAUUGAGCCUUGAUGUGUAGGAUAGGUGGGAGGCUUUGAAGUGUGGACGCCAGUCUGCAUGGAGCCGGCCUUGAAAUACCACCCUUUAAUGUUUGAUGUUCUAACGUUGGCCCCUGAUCGGGGUUGCGGACAGUGUCUGGUGGGUAGUUUGACUGGGGCGGUCUCCUCCUAAAGAGUAACGGAGGAGCACGAAGGUUGGCUAAUCCUGGUCGGACAUCAGGAGGUUAGUGCAAUGGCAUAAGCCAGCUUGACUGCGAGCGUGACGGCGCGAGCAGGUGCGAAAGCAGGUCAUAGUGAUCCGGUGGUUCUGAAUGGAAGGGCCAUCGCUCAACGGAUAAAAGGUACUCCGGGGAUAACAGGCUGAUACCGCCCAAGAGUUCAUAUCGACGGCGGUGUUUGGCACCUCGAUGUCGGCUCAUCACAUCCUGGGGCUGAAGUAGGUCCCAAGGGUAUGGCUGUUCGCCAUUUAAAGUGGUACGCGAGCUGGGUUUAGAACGUCGUGAGACAGUUCGGUCCCUAUCUGCCGUGGGCGCUGGAGAACUGAGGGGGGCUGCUCCUAGUACGAGAGGACCGGAGUGGACGCAUCACUGGUGUUCGGGUUGUCAUGCCAAUGGCACUGCCCGGUAGCUAAAUGCGGAAGAGAUAAGUGCUGAAAGCAUCUAAGCACGAAACUUGCCCCGAGAUGAGUUCUCCCUGACUCUUUAAGGGUCCUGAAGGAACGUUGAAGACGACGACGUUGAUAGGCCGGGUGUGUAAGCGCAGCGAUGCGUUGAGCUAACCGGUACUAAUGAACCGUGAGGCUUAACCUU
rnacentral:rRNA from 8 species